rnacentral:lncRNA from 1 species
GCUUAGACCACUGGAAGCUCCCCGCACUCACUGAUGACUACUUUCUUCUUCGGACGGUCACCUCUGUCAGUCUCCGACGACUCAAUCAGCCUUACGAUGUCCAUGCCUUCAAGAACCUGGCCAAACACGACAUGCCUCCCAUCCAACCAAGGUGUCUGCAUCCAAGGCACCAGUCGUACCAGUUCCGGGUUAUCUUUGGCACUAGUACAUAAGUAAAUCGACAAAGUAGCAGAAGUGGCAAAAACAAAAGUCAUUUCUCUGGUAUGCACAAGAUUUACCUUGACAGUGCAGAUGAAAAACUGGCUGCCGUUGGUGUUUGGUCCAGCGUUAGCCAUACUGACCACUCCAGGUCCAGUGUGAACCACUAAAACAUGAGAACAGCAUGCCAUAAGUUUUAGCAGGCGACUAAAAAACACAUACCAUAUCAAGACCAUUUCAGAUGAAGAGCAUACAUUUGAAGUUCUCAUCUUUGAAGGUGCGCCCGUAUAUGCUUUUCCCACCAGUACCCUGCAAAUGUAGGUUAUAUUCAAUCACAUGUGAAUAGUUGAAAGCUUCAUCUUCCAAUUUAGUUUCUCUAGGUUCAACUGUUCAAACACAAAAUUAU